rnacentral:rRNA from 1 species
GACGAACGCUGGCGGCGUGCCUAAUACAUGCAAGUCGAGCGGACUUUCAAGAAGCUUGCUUUUUGAAAGUUAGCGGCGGACGGGUGAGUAACACGUGGGCAACCUGCCUGCAAGACGGGGAUAACUCCGUGAAACCGGGGCUAAUACCGGAUAAUAUCUUCCUUCGCAUGAAGGAAGGUUGAAAGGCGGCGCAAGCUGCCGCUUGCAGAUGGGCCCGCGGCGCAUUAGCUAGUUGGUGAGGUAACGGCUCACCAAGGCGACGAUGCGUAGCCGACCUGAGAGGGUGAUCGGCCACACUGGGACUGAGACACGGCCCAGACUCCUGCGGGAGGCAGCAGUAGGGAAUCUUCCGCAAUGGACGAAAGUCUGAAGGAGCAACGCCGCGUGAGCGAAGAAGGUCUUCGGAUCGUAAAGCUCUGUUGUCAGGGAAGAACAAGUACCGUUCGAACAGGGCGGUACCUUGACGGUACCUGAACAGAAAGCCACGGCUAACUACGUG